UGCCAGCCGCCGCGGUAACACGGGGGGCGCAAGCGUUAUUCGGAUUUAUUGGGUUUAAAGGGUGCGUAGGUGGUUUUUUAAGUCAGUGGUGAAAUCCUACAGCUUAACUGUAGAUGUGCCAUUGAAACUGGGAAACUUGAGUAUGGACGAGGUGGGCGGAAUUUGUGGUGUAGCGGUGAAAUGCAUAGAUACACAAAGAACACUGAUAGCGAAGGCAGCUUACUAGGCCAUAACUGACACUGAGGCACGAAAGCGUGGGGAGCGAACAGGAUUAGAUA
rnacentral:rRNA from 1 species